rnacentral:rRNA from 1 species
GAUGAACGCUGGCGGCGUGCCUAAUACAUGCAAGUCGAGCGAACAGACGAGGAGCUUGCUCCUUCGACGUUAGCGGCGGACGGGUGAGUAACACGUAGGUAACCUACCUAUAAGACUGGGAUAACUUCGGGAAACCGGAGCUAAUACCGGAUAAUAUUUCGAACCGCAUGGUUCGAUAGUGAAAGAUGGCUUUGCUAUCACUUAUAGAUGGACCUGCGCCGUAUUAGCUAGUUGGUAAGGUAACGGCUUACCAAGGCAACGAUACGUAGCCGACCUGAGAGGGUGAUCGGCCACACUGGAACUGAGACACGGUCCAGACUCCUACGGGAGGCAGCAGUAGGGAAUCUUCCGCAAUGGGCGAAAGCCUGACGGAGCAACGCCGCGUGAGUGAUGAAGGUCUUCGGAUCGUAAAACUCUGUUAUUAGGGAAGAACAAACGUGUAAGUAACUGUGCACGUCUUGACGGUACCUAAACAGAAAGCCACGGCUAACUACGUG